GAGGAAAGAAGAGAGAACCAAAGUCUCACAUCCAUGCUCGAACUGCGAUUUCUCCAGCUCAGAGACAGAGAUCGAUAAGCUACACAAAUUUUUGGUUUCGAACAUCUUUUGGAACUCGCAUAGGGAGAGGAGAGAUUGAGAAACAGGAGCCCUAAGCCCCCUUGUGAAAUCUCCUCUGCAGAGCAGGUAUUGGGACAAAUUUUAGGGUUUUUCUGGACCAUCUAUCGUAUAGCUCAUACAGAGAGGUAACGUCAUCUUCUUCUCUUCUAUUUCUUCUUCUUCUCUUCUCGAUCUUGUAUAGCAUAAUUUCCUUAUCAUAUAAAUCCUUCAUGGGAUUCGAAUCAAUUAUUUCAGAAGACAGUGGACAUCAUGACAUCAGUCCCUCUUAUAUGACUCUGCUUCCACGCACAGCGUGAUUGGAUUCCUCCCCUCACCAACUGUUCUCAAACC